rnacentral:rRNA from 1 species
UACGGAGGGAGCUAGCGUUGUUCGGAAUUACUGGGCGUAAAGCGCGCGUAGGCGGCUUUGUAAGUUAGAGGUGAAAGCCCGGGGCUCAACCCCGGAAUUGCCUUUAAGACUGCAUCGCUUGAAUCCGGGAGAGGUGAGUGGAAUUCCGAGUGUAGAGGUGAAAUUCGUAGAUAUUGGGAAGAACACCGGUGGCGAAGGCGGCUCACUGGCUCAUUACUGACGCUCAGGCGCGAUAGCGUGGGGAUCAAACAGG